UGCUGCUACUUUAAACGUGUUUUUCUAUUUAUUUCAUUGUCUAAAGUUACUUUCCCCACAUCAAUUCGUCAGGAAAAGUUUUCAUUCUCCCUCCAUUUCUUUCCCACCAAUUUUUUUCCCCUCUUGGACCGAAAAGGAAUUUAGAAGGACAUCUUGUCCUUAUGACAUAGACACCGGGAAAUUCAAGAAGCACUUUUCCCAAAUCUCUACUUUUGGAACAACAACAACAAAGUACACUUUCUCCAAAUCUUCAGCUUGUCUUCAUCUCCAACAACAGAGAACAACAACGAACUCCUCUGAACUUGGCUUCAUCUCUUUCAACAAGAGAGACAACACGAUGGUCUAAGAAUGGUGCAGCAGUCUGGUGCAUCAGCUUUCGGAAAAUUCAGGGUCAAGGAUUGACUAUUCUUGGAGACCUUGUUCUGAAAGACAAGAUUGUUGUUUAUGAUUUGGCUGGCCAAAGGAUUGGAUGGGCUAACUAUGACUCAGAACAGACCUGCAUUCUCACUACCUUGAUAGAGAAGAUAAGGAACAACCAGAGAAAAGAUUGCAUAAUUUGAGGUAUCGGAAAUGGAUAAGAGCUGGAUAAAUGAUCCAAAUAUUUUGUCAAGUCAUUAUAAGUUUGGUCUUAAGGAUUUUAUUGAAUUUGCUAAGACCAAUGGUAUGGGAUUGGAUGGAAAAUUAUUUUGUCCCUGUAGGAGAUGUAGGAAUUCAAAGAGAAAAAGCAUUUCUCAAGUUGAAUCAGAUUUAUCGGAAAAAGGCUUUUGUAUGUAUUAUAAAAAUUGGGUCUUCCAU